rnacentral:lncRNA from 1 species
UCCUCAGCAUCUUUCUGUCAUCUGUUCAUUCCUGUUAACAUGGAUAUAGUCGUUGGGAAAGGGAAAGGAGAAAAGCAAUUCUUCACAGAUGGAUUUACGAUGGAAAAAUUAAGGAAGUUUGAAAUGAAUUGAAAUCUGAACCAGGAGCAGUUGAUACUUCCUCCUGCUGUAGACACUCAUUCACUCAACAUAUAUUUACUCAACAUUUAUGGAGUGCCAGUCACUAUUGACAAGCCACUGAAUGGAAAAGAAGAUAAUUUAUGAAGAACAUCUUCAGCAGAGUCUACGGAAAGUGGCAGCCACAAGGCAACUUGGGGUGAUGUCCCCGUGGUCACUACUGCCACGUGUUGUGAUGGGCUUUGGUAUUAGAAGGUUUUCAGGUCUCUCAGAUGAGUGGUUUAAUAUCAAGCCAGCAAUCACGGUGCAAGAUAAAGGACUGGGAGAUACACAAUUUCCUUCAAGAUGGGACUGUCCCUCAUUUGAGGAAUAUUACAUAUUACAAUUGCCAUCGAGUGCAAGUAAUCACAGCCUCAAGGACAAGCCUUUGGCAGUGAAUGCUUUUCACCAUUGGAGAAUUAGACAAAGUGACAGGGUUAAUUCCCACCAGGACAGAAGGGUAUUGGUGGUGUGA